GCUACGGGUGGCAGCAGGAGGGAAUAUUGCUCAAUGGGGGAAACCCUGAAGCAGCAACGCCGCGUGGAGGAUGAAGGUUUUCGGAUUGUAAACUCCUUUUGUUAGAGAAGAUAAUGACGGUAUCUAACGAAUAAGCACCGGCUAACUCCGUGCCAGCAGCCGCGGUAAACGGGAGGGUGCAAGCGUUACGCGGAAUCACUGUGCGUAAAGAGCGCGUAGGCGGGUUAGCAAGUCAGAUGUGAAAUCCUAUGGCUUAACCAUAGAACUGCUUGUGAAACGGUCAUUCUAGAGUAGGGGAGAGGUAGGGGGAAUGCGUGGUGUAGCGGUGAAAUCCGUAGAGAUCGAGCGGAAUACUGAUUGCGAAGGCGACCUGCUAGAUCAUAACUGACGCUGAGGCGCGAAAGCGUGGGGAGCGAACAGGAUGAGAUACCCGAGUAGUC
rnacentral:rRNA from 1 species